UAGAUCCGGCGACUUCUGCUUCAGAUCCGACGAUUCACAGCGUUCGUCUUCCCCUCCACGACGACGCAGCAGAGGAAGUAUUAGAGGCACGUGUUCCGGCGAUUGCACGAAUUUGAGCGACGGCAGUAGUCAGCGUGUGACGGCAGCAUCAGUUUGUGGUGAGAUUCCGGUAGUCUUGCUUUGUUUUAUGGCGGAUUCGACAUUCGUUGGUGGGCGGCAUCCCCGUGUACGACUUCACAUGGUGGCAGCAACGUCCCCAUCACAUAAACCGCGCACAAUAGCAUCGAUAGCGUGUCUCCACUGCUAGAUUUCGUGGACAGGUGCAUUCUGAUGGUUUUUGGUGGUGACCCACACCCAAAUGUAGCCCAUUCGUGUUACCCACCCUUGUACGGAGUCGUUUUAUGAUGCCCAACUCCUUCAGCGUUGACCCGCUCUUAACCGAAGUGUGUUCGGUGUGAGUUAGAACCUUUCGGCGAAGCUUAGGAGUGUUAGGUUCUUUGGGUAAGUAGUUUCUUACUGAAGGGAUUGUUUGUUGUGUGUUGCUAUGAACGAAAUGUUUGUUUGUGUGCUUAUGAAUGUUGUCGCAUGAUUGCUUGCGGUUGGUACUACUUUAUACAUGUUGGUUGUGUUCUGAUUACUAUGAAACUUUUUAGAGUGUUGGAUGCGUUUUUGGAUAUAUUUCGGCUAGUCUUUUGUGAAUUAUACGUUGUGGUGUGUAAAUCAUGCUGAAUGUUGAGAGAAAGGUGUUCUUGUGAUGUCGGAUGGCCAUGUUUGGAUAAUAGUGGCAUAGGUUUCGUGUAUAACGCAUGUUGCAUUGUUGUACGAUAAAUUCUGCAUGGGUCAUGACUUAGAAGCAUGUAGGAAUGUGGUGAGAGUUUCGGGAUAUAAUGAAGUGUGUGGAUGAGUAACAGGGUCAGAGGGCUGGCACGUCACUAGUUGGGUUUCGAGACUCUAGGUGCAAAGGUCAGGGAUUGAUACCCCAACUUGGCAGAGAUGAGUGUCGAGGCUCCGGGUACAAAGGUCGGGGGUCGGCACGGUGAUUCUAAUUGUUGAAUUAGUAUUGGGUCUUGAUGUGGUGGCAGUCAAGGACCAAUACGUUGAGUAGUCAUCGAUACCUUCGGGAUAAAUGUAAAGGGUCGAUGCACAGUUCAAGGCCUUGGGGAUAAAUGGCAAGGUCGAAUGCCAAACUUCUGUAGAUGAGUGUCGAGCCUUGGGGAUAAAUGGCAAGGGCCGAUACAAUUCGAGGACUUAGACUUGGAGGACUAACAUAAUAGGAUUGACAGUUCGUUAUUCUUGAGAACAUUAAUUUUGUUUAGUUACUUGAACUGUGGUGAUGUAAUCUAUUGAGGACAUUUAUCAAUAUAAUACAUUUGUUUAAGUUGAACUUGAGUUAGCUUUUGUUUCGCUGCUAUUUGAGAAACGUGUAGUGGAUGGUUUAUGAUUAGUGAAGAUUUCAUUGAGAAGUUUUAUAAUGUUAGAUUGUUAUUAAAUUAUUAACUGUGAAGAAUUUGAGUUUCGUUAGAACUUUUGUGUUGUCUGGUUUGUUUAGUGCAAGUUUUUUUUUGAAACUGUUAUUAUUCCAAGUAGCACAGUGGAAGCGUGGUGAGAGUUGUCCUAGUUUAUAUCUCUAGUGGUUUAAUUCUCUAGUACGAACGAGACUUUUUAGGUGGCUUUUAGUAAUGGUCCCCAUUGGGAUGUGGAAAAUCCUGGGGCGUUACAUUAUGAUUUGCAAUGGUUAACCAAUAGAGGUGAGAUCAAAAUCCAAAGUCAAGUCUUAGUUCCCUUCUCCAUAGGAAGGUACAAAGACGAAGUUAUUUGCAAUGUUGUGUCUAUACAUGCAUGUGAUUUAUUACUUGGACGACCGUGACAACAUAUGACAAAAAGGUAAAGUAUGAUGGUUUUCAUAACAAAUAUUCCUUUAGCAACAAUGGCAAGAAAAUCAGAUAAUUACUUCCCUUAUCUCCAAAUGAACUGAGAAUCGACCAAAGAAAAUUGGAAGAAAGAAGAAACGAGGUUACCAAGGAUCAAGAAGAAAAGGUAAAGCCUCCAACAAAGGUAAGAAGGUCGUGAGUCUCAUAGAAAGUUCUAGUGAGAUUAAGAAAGCUUUUUGUUUUAAUCAAAUGCUCUUCAUGUUUAUGUCUAAAGGUACAUGUCUCCUAACCCAAGAACUUCAAGAUACAUUACCUAGUGUUUUUGUCGAGCUUUUACAAGAAUUCAAGGAUAUUUUUCUUGAGGAGUUGCCCAAGGAGCUACCACCAUUGAAAGGGAUAAAACACAAAAUCAAUUUCAUCUCUGGAUCACAAAUUCCUAAUCGGUCAGACUACAAACCAAUCGCAAGGUGCUCAUGGGUAUGUAAGAGAAUCACUUAGCCCUUGUAGUGUACCCAUUUUACAUGUGCCUAAAAAGAAUGGAUCUUGACGCAUGUGUGUAGAUUGUAGGACUAUUAACAAAAUCACAAAUAUAGACAUCCAAUAGCAAGGUUAGAUGACAUGCUUGAUGAUUGCAUGGUUGUAAAUUGUUCACUAAAAUUGAUCCAAAAUCCGGAUAUCAUCAAAUUAGGAUGCCAGUAGGUGAUAAAUGGAAGACCGCAUUCAAGACUAAGUUUGGAUUGUAUGAAAUGGUUAGUAAUGUCUUUUUGGUUAACUAAUGCACCUAGCACGUUUAUGAGGCUUAUGAACCAUGUUUUGAGAGAGUAUCUAGGAAAAUUUGUUAUGGUAUAUUUUGAUGACAUCUUAGUAUAUUCUAAGUCUAUGAAUGAGCAUGUGGAACAUGUGAAGUGUGUCCAAACCACUCUUAGGGCCGAGAGGCUCUAUGCUAACCUCAAGAAAUGUAGCUUUUGUAUGGAAAGAGUCAACUUCCUACGUUUCAUCAUGACAACCCAAGUAGUAGAAGUUGAUCAAGAGAAGAUCAAAGUCAUCCAAUAAUGGCCAACACCCUAAAGUGUAAGUAAGAUUAGGAGCUUCCAUGGCCUUAUCAGAUUCUAUAAGAGGUUUAUCAAGGACUUGGCUUAAUUGCUUCACCACUCAAUGAGCUAGUCAAGAAGAAUGUGAAGUUCCAAUGGGGUCCCGAACAAGAUAAGUCUUUCAACACUAUCAAAUCUCGAUUAUGUACUAAAUUUUGAGAUUGAAUGUGAUGCUAACUUUUGAACUAACUUAAUUGUUUUGCCAAAAUUUGAACUAACUUUUGAGAUUGAAUGUGAUGCUAGUGGCAUUGGAAUCGGAGGCGUGUUGAUGCAAAAUCAAAGACCGAUCAUGUACUUUAGUGAGAAGCUUAGCUGAGCAAUGUUGAACUACCCAACAUAUGACAAGGACCUAUAUGCAUUGAUAAGAGCUUUGCAAACUUGGCAACAUUACCUUGGCCGAAGGAGUUCGUCAUCCAACAUAUCAUAAAAACUUGAGCAUUUGAAGAGCCAAGACAAACUCAACCGGAGACACACCACAUGGUUGGAGUUUAUAGAGACAUUUCCAUAAGCGAUGAAGUAUAAGAAAGGAUUUUUGUUCGAGAAAGGAAAAUUGUGCAUUCCCCAAGGCCUCCAAUAUAUCAACUAUUUCGUUGAAGGUCUUUUUUCGUGAAAGCUCCAUUUGUAGCGUUGUUGAGCAUCAUCUUCGUUGAAUGGUCCAAACCUCUAAAGAAAUGCUCUAUCUCGAUACAUGUUGGUAACCCAUGCUUCAGCCACUUUCGCAGCAACUCCUUGAAUCUCUCCCAUGCCUCGUGCACUGAUUCUCGGUCAUAUUGUCUAAAAGUGUCAAUCUCCUCUUAUGUCGUAUGGUGAGUGGGAGGGAAGUACUUUGUAAAAAACUUCUACUAAUGAAGUGGUGAUUGAACCUGGUGGGAAAGAAUUAAGCCACAUUCUCGCCUGGUCCCUAACAGAAAAUGGGAAAAGAGUUAAUCUCAAAGCAUCAUCUGUGAUACCAGACAAUCUAAAUGCAUUUGCAAUUUGAAGAAAAGUUUUGAGAUUGUCAUGAGGAUCUUCGUGUUCGUGCCCUUCGAACUGUCCUAAUGUCUGAAGCAUUUGAAACAUGAGUGGCUUUAGCUCGAAGUUGGCAGCUUCUGGAAUGAGAUUCAGAAUGACCGAAUCCAAAUUCUGGAAUGUUGUAGCAGUAUACUCUCGCAUGGCCACUUCUCUAUUAUUCGCCAUUUAAAUAUCGCUAAACUCCUUGUUUUGUUGGCAUUGUGCUAGCCCUGCCAUAUCACCGUUUACAUUAUAGAUUGGUGGAUCUACAGGAUUUCAAGGUGGAGUUCCGUCCAUAACUGUGAUGGUAUUCUCUAUCUCAUUUUCAGAA